rnacentral:rRNA from 1 species
GACGUAGGGCGCGAGCGUUGUCCGGAUUUAUUGGGCGUAAAGAGCUCGUAGACGGCUUGUCGCGUCAACUGUGAAAACCCGUGGCUCAACCAUGUGGUCUGCAGUCGAUACGGGCAGGCUAGAAUUCGGUAGGGGAGACUGGAAUUCCUGGUGUAGCGGUGAAAUGCGCAGAUAUCAGGAGGAACACCGGUGGCGAAGGCGGGUCUCUGGGCCGAUAUUGACGCUGAGGAGCGAAAGCGUGGGGAGCGAACAGG